GACGAACGCUGGCGGCGUGCUUAACACAUGCAAGUCGAACGGAAAGGCCCUGCUUUUGUGGGGUGCUCGAGUGGCGAACGGGUGAGUAACACGUGAGUAACCUGCCCUUGACUUUGGGAUAACUUCAGGAAACUGGGGCUAAUACCGGAUAGGAGCUCCUGCUGCAUGGUGGGGGUUGGAAAGUUUCGGCGGUUGGGGAUGGACUCGCGGCUUAUCAGCUUGUUGGUGGGGUAGUGGCUUACCAAGGCUUUGACGGGUAGCCGGCCUGAGAGGGUGACCGGCCACAUUGGGACUGAGAUACGGACCAGACGCCUACGGGAGGCAGCAGUGGAGAAUAUUGCACAAUGGGCGGAAGCCUGAUGCAGCAACGCCGCGUGCGGGAUGACGGCCUUCGGGUGGUAAACCGCUUUCGCCUGUGACGAAGCGUGAGUGACGGUAAUGGGUAAAGAAGCACCGGCUAACUACGUG
rnacentral:rRNA from 1 species